rnacentral:rRNA from 1 species
ACGAGCGGCGGACGGGUGAGUAAUGCUUGGGAAUCUGCCCAGUAGUGGGGGACAACAGUCGGAAACGGCUGCUAAUACCGCAUACGCCCUACGGGGGAAAGCAGGGGAUCUUCGGACCUUGCGCUAUUGGAUGAGCCUAAGUCGGAUUAGCUAGUUGGUGGGGUAAAGGCCUACCAAGGCGACGAUCCGUAGCUGGUCUGAGAGGAUGAUCAGCCACAUCGGGACUGAGACACGGCCCGAACUCCUACGGGAGGCAGCAGUGGGGAAUAUUGGACAAUGGGGGCAACCCUGAUCCAGCCAUGCCGCGUGUGUGAAGAAGGCUUUCGGGUUGUAAAGCACUUUCAGCGAGGAGGAAGGCCUUAAAGUUAAUACCUUUAAGGAUUGACGUUACUCGCAGAAGAAGCACCGGCUAACUCCGUGCCAGCAGCCGCGGUAAUACGGAGGGUGCAAGCGUUAAUCGGAAUUACUGGGCGUAAAGCGCGCGUAGGUGGUUUGGUAAGCGAGAUGUGAAAGCCCCGGGCUUAACCUGGGAACGGCAUUUCGAACUGUCAGACUAGAGUGUGGUAGAGGGUAGUGGAAUUUCCUGUGUAGCGGUGAAAUGCGUAGA